rnacentral:rRNA from 1 species
GAGUUUGAUUAUGGCUCAGGAUGAACGCUAGCGGCAGGCCUAACACAUGCAAGUCGAGGGGUAGAGUGCUUCGGCACUUGAGACCGGCGCACGGGUGCGUAACACGUGUACAAUCUACCUUUUGCUAAGGGAUAGCCCGAAGAAAUUUGGAUUAAUACCUUAUAGUAUUGUUUGGUGGCAUCACUGAAUAAUUAAAGCUCUGGUGGCAAAAGAUGAGUACGCGUCCCAUUAGCUAGUUGGUGUGGUAACGGCAUACCAAGGCUACGAUGGGUAGGGGUCCUGAGAGGGAGGUCCCCCACACUGGUACUGAGACACGGACCAGACUCCUACGGGAGGCAGCAGUGAGGAAUAUUGGACAAUGGUCGGAAGACUGAUCCAGCCAUGCCGCGUGCAGGAAGACGGCCUUAUGGGUUGUAAACUGCUUUUAUACGGGAAGAAUAAGGUCUACGUGUAGAUUGAUGACGUACUGUAUGAAUAAG